rnacentral:tRNA from 2 species
GCCGCGGUAGCUCAGUCGGUAGAGCAUAGCACUGAAAAUGCUAGGGUCGCCGGUUCAAAUCCGGCCUGCGGCACCA